CGAAGUGGUGGGCUGCUGCCCUCACAAGCAUUGUGAGGGCAGCGGUUCUAGCCCCCACAAAAGCAUUGUGGGGGCUAAAUGUUCUUUAUACUCAUUCUCUCUUGCGAAAUGCGAGUGGAGUAUGGACAUCACUCUCCUGUGAGGGGUUAUUUGUUUGGGCAUGUACUUUAUAGAAUUCAAUGUCAUAAUAUAUAAGUCCCAAUUAUGUAUAUCUG
rnacentral:lncRNA from 1 species